UUCCCCCCGGCCUCGAUCGAUUCCUAGCCUCCGUCUCCGUGCGCUGCCGGGGCGCGGUCGCCAUCUGCGACACGGCGACACCGUGAUUUUGACUCGUCUCGCCGCCGACCUCUGCCUCCUCCUACUCGGCGUCCAGCGCCGGCGGCGACCCCUCCCCACCCCACACGGCCACACCGACUCCCUGCCCCGCCGUUACUCCCGGUAAAAAUAAACGCCCAACCCCCGACACCAUCCAGCACCCGCACGCAUGGCGUUCGACGGAUUGUCCGAUCUGCCAUCCGCGUCCACCGCCCUGUCCUCUGCUCCUGGUGUGGUGGCUCCUCGCUUAUUCUGCUACCUGGCCAUUGACUUUUGUUCGUUCGAUGCACACUCGCCUAUUCUCCAUUGACUUUUGUUCGUUCGACGCACACCCGAGGGAAUCGCGUAGAGCCAGGAGACGGUGCGCGCGCGCGCGCGGAGGGAUGCUUUUUUUGAAACUCUGAAGUUAUCAAUCUUAGUUGUGCGCAUGCUUAGCAAUCAAGAGUAUUGCGGGCUUGCGGCUGUAAUGCAAAUAUGUGAUGCAAGUGUGUGUGAUUGCCACAGGAUUUCAAUUUAGGGUAUGGAUGUGUGCCUACACAAAUUAUCCGCGCUAGCACGAAGCUAGUUGAGCGGGUGCCAUUGUCAUCAGGUUUUAUUCUUCUAUUUUGUGUUUCAGCGGUAACUGUAAACAAAAUUGGACAACUGCAGCAUAUGAUUGUAGCCAAUUGCUAACAGUGGUAACUCAGAGCUACUGUCUUGAAGGCAUGUAAUAUCAACAUUCAUAUGAUUUUGUUCGUACAUUAGCUACUGCCAUGCUGCAUCUACAGCACUGAGAAUACUAGAGAACCGAGGCCUAGUGAUGCUGUCGAUGCCUAUAUUCAUAGUGUUCUGUGGUUGAGGUUGUGUUCAAUUCCCCUUUAUUUUCUUUCAACCAGAGCUAGUGUUUUCAUUUUUCUAGGAAAAAAAUUCAAAAUUAUUUACUAUAAGUUGCCAGCCUAUGAAAUUAUUUCUAUUCAUUCUUAAAAGUUGUUGAAUUUUAACUCUUCGUUUAGAAUGAUAGAACAUGUAGUACGACUAACUACUAACAAGAUAUCACUGACACAUCCAAGUUUAAUUCUGUACUCAGUUCUUAAGUUGAUAAUAUUGAGGUCUUCUUUAAGUUAAUGAUGUUGUUUCCCAUACUAAAAGGACUCGAAAGUUUCUAGCUCUAUUAUAUUUGCUCCAUCAUGUGAUUCAGUAUAUUUUUGCUCUAUUUUAUUAUAGCUACUGUUAUUUUUAUGAAUGCAUUUCUGGUGCAGAUCCUAUAAUGCCAACCAGGCGCAAUGUUCAGUAUUCACCUCUCCCUACAGAGGAUAGAGAUAACCUAUGGUUGAAGUACACUCCAAAAUCGCAUAAAAAUUCCAUGGAAGUCAAUUGCCUUGGCACUUUUUCUCCUCAUCAUAGGAAUUUCACUCCUCUUCCUGUCGUAUUUUAUAUUCACAAGUCACAUGGAUGGUGAUGGUUCUCAGGCAUAUGGUCUCUUAUUCCUGGGCGUGCUUGCUUUCCUUCCUGGUAUGUCACCACAAGCAACUUCAGUUAUUAUGUAUUUUCUUUUCAUACAGUGCCUUUCUGGUACAAAUGAGGCAGACAUAGUUUUCUAGAAGAAUCUAAAUGAUUUGUUGUUGGUGGUUAAGUGUUUGAGUUAUAUGUCUUCUUUGUUAACUAAAUGUAAUAUAACUGCAAUGUGUCUUAACAAUCACUCCAUUUGUUAAUUUGUGACCAGUACUGAUAGUGGAUGUUUUGGAUUGAAUGUUUGCUUUGCUGACAUUUAUCGGGCAAUAAUGCUCCCUUCCCUUGGAAAUAAAAUCCGCCUUUUCUCAAUGUUUGGUAUCUCACCUUCAUUAAUACGUGCAAGUGGAAGAACCUAUGUUCUGUUAAUUGUCACAGCUCACAGAACUUUGAAAUAAUCUUAAAUGUUUGUGUGAUUUUCACCCUGCAGCUGUUAAACUGUUUUGCAGGCUAUUACGAGACUCGAGUUGCUUACUAUUCCUGGAGAGGAGCACCAGGGUACACCUUCGCAUCCGUCCCAGAUUAUUAGCCAUCUGUGUCUCCAGAAGUGUGGUUGUCAGACAGGAAGGCCAAGCACGUAGAGAGUUAAUUGAGCCACAAAUGGAGCUACAAAAUGAGCGAUUGGGCAUGAUAUGUAUAGGCAACAUAUCCUGGGCAUGAUAUGUAUAGGCAACAUAUCCUCUGAGACCUCGCUGUUUUCAUGCAUGGCUUAGCUUAGCUUAUAA
rnacentral:lncRNA from 1 species